UACGUAGGGUGCAAGCGUUGUCCGGAAUUAUUGGGCGUAAAGAGCUCGUAGGCGGUCUGUCGCGUCUGCUGUGAAAAACUCGGGGGCUUAACCCCGGGCCUGCAGUGGGUACGGGCAGACUAGAGUGCGGUAGGGGGAGACUGGAAUUCCUGGUGUAGCGGUGAAAUGCGCAGAUAUCAGGAGGAACACCGGUGGCGAAGGCGGGUCUC
rnacentral:rRNA from 1 species